GCUGUGACUAUUCUAGUAGGUGUCUUUGGUGAGCGCCUACACGUGUUUCUCUUUUUCUCUUUAGUAUAUGCCCAGGAGGGGAACUGCUGGCUCCCAGAUACCGUAUGUUCAGGGUCACACACACUUCCACAGGGUUUUCCAAAGCCCUUGUACCAGCACGCACUCCCAGCACCUGUGUGACUGCUCCAGCUGUCCCACAGUCUCAUCAGUUCUAUUGCUGAUAUUUUCAUUUUAGCUUAAGUUAUAUUUAAUAGGAAAAUUACCGUUGCCUCUGCCCCCCGUUCCUGCCUGUAGGAGUUUCUCGUAGCUGUUGCUACAGGUGGCCACAAAUCUGUCACUUAAACCCACACAAAUUGAUGUCCUUAUGGCUUUGGAGUCAGAAGUGUCAACUGAAGGUACUAGCAGGGCUGUACUGACCUGGUGGCCUCAGGGAGCAUCUGUGCUGCUUCUCCACCUUCUAGAGGCUGCUGCAUCCCUCGCUCCAGCCCCUUCCUGACACCACUCACCCUCCUACUUCUGUUAUCACAUCCUCACCUUCUCUGUGUUCAGGGCUCCCUCUGUCUCUCUCUUGCAAGCACACUUGGGAUUCCAUUGAGGGCCACCCACAUAACCCAGGAGAAUUUCUCCACCUCAAUAUCCUUAACAACUGCAGAGCCCUUUUGCCAUAAAAGUUACCAUUCACGGGUUCCAGGGAUUGUGACAUGGGUAGCUUUAGGAGUGAUUAUUCCUGCCUGUCUCCCGCUCACCAGAACUUGGACUUUCUCUCUCAACAGGAGCCCCCUGUGUGGGAAUAGCCUGUCUCAACGACGCCCUCUAUAAGGACCUGCUUCCUCAAAGGACCUCAUAGUCGGGUCCUGCCCCUCAGUGUCCAGUCUGCCUUGGCUGGAGGGGCUGCAGGGGUGUGUUGGCGCCACCUGGUGGAGACAGGGCAUCACAGCAGAUAUUUGCACUCCUGGUUAUGAAGCCUUCACACUUGGACUGAAUACACCACCAGCUUUCCCGAUUUCCAGCGUGCAAAUGGCAGAUCGUGAGACUUCUCAGCUUCCAUAAUUACAUGAGCCAAUUUAUAUAUAUAAAUUGGGUCCUCCAGAAAAA
rnacentral:lncRNA from 1 species